UGCUUCAAAUUCAUUCAAAUU
rnacentral:piRNA from 1 species